GCAAUUUAUGCAGUAGGCCAUUGAAUUGGUCAUGUUCGGUGAUAACAUUCUGAUGUGUCGGAUCAGCAGCACAAAGAUUACGCAGCGCUUUCAAAUGUUCAAGAUAUUUAAAUGCGUUACUAUCGUCCAGUGGCGGCAAUUGCAUGAAAGCCUGAAUGUGCUUGAGACUUUCCGGCGGCUCAUUGCUGGAAGAAUGGCAUAGAUGUUAGUAAUGGGUCACUGCAGUCCAUUUUACUACUUUGUUAUUUGUUUACUUUUUCACUACAUAAAUUUUGACGGAUUAGCGAACAUUCAGGGGUAUAACGACAUUUGGGGCACAUGGAAAACUUCAUCAGACAGAGUCAAGUAUUAAUGAUCUGAGGGAGCAAAACGAUUUCUGCUCAAAAUUUCUUAACAAAAAGUACUUUACCAUAUAUUGUCAAUCACUUUAUAUUUUUCAAUCAUUAAAUACACUGAGGGAUCAAGCUUCACUUUCUUUUUACACAAGAUAAUAU